CGUCUGAGCAGCUGAGAGGUAUUGGUUACUUCUCUGCCCCCAGUCCUGUGUCCUCCUGAAGAGUUCCUGCGUGCUACUGAACAGUCGGGCACAGUCAGGAAAAAAUGAAGUUGGAGCAGAAAAAUUAAUAAGUUUCGGGAUAGUUUCCUGAUUUAGGAAUAAGGGAUGAUUUCCAAAGUAAACAGCAUGUGGUUUGGAUGCUGGCAAAUGAAAGUUUACAGAUUAAGGAAUAAGAAACCAGUAAACAGAGAUUUUGGCAAACAGAAAUAUGUAACAGUGGAAGAGGUAGGUGUUACAUGGAUUGAGAUACUACAAGUGGGACAUCCCAACUUUGUAUGGAUUUUGUUUCAUUUAAUUAUGUACCCAGUUCACAUAUUUUUGUACUUUUGACUACGAGGGUCUGUCAUGAAUCUGCCUAUGCCCUUCCUUAUUAUUUAAUGCUGUCGCUACAUCCAUACUCAUACAGGAUGAAGUUUGCCCAAGUUUUUAUCACUCUUUUGAAGAAGAACAUAACUUUUUUCUUUGCCGCCAGUUUUUGUGGAUUUUUAAUUUCAGAGGAGCAGAAGAAAUACUCAUUACAGGUUACUAUAGGGGCAUCCUCUGUCGUGCUGUGA
rnacentral:lncRNA from 1 species